AAAUUGAAGAGUUUGAUCAUGGCUCAGAUUGAACGCUGGCGGCAGGCCUAACACAUGCAAGUCGAGCGGUAGCACAGAGAGCUUGCUCUCGGGUGACGAGCGGCGGACGGGUGAGUAAUGUCUGGGAAACUGCCUGAUGGAGGGGGAUAACUACUGGAAACGGUAGCUAAUACCGCAUAACGUCGCAAGACCAAAGUGGGGGACCUUCGGGCCUCAUGCCAUCAGAUGUGCCCAGAUGGGAUUAGCUAGUAGGUGGGGUAACGGCUCACCUAGGCGACGAUCCCUAGCUGGUCUGAGAGGAUGACCAGCCACACUGGAACUGAGACACGGUCCAGACUCCUACGGGAGGCAGCAGUGGGGAAUAUUGCACAAUGGGCGCAAGCCUGAUGCAGCCAUGCCGCGUGUGUGAAGAAGGCCUUCGGGUUGUAAAGCACUUUCAGCGGGGAGGAAGGCGGUGAGGUUAAUAACCUCAUCGAUUGACGUUACCCGCAGAAGAAGCACCGGCUAACUCCGUGCCAGCAGCCGCGGUAAUACGGAGGGUGCAAGCGUUAAUCGGAAUUACUGGGCGUAAAGCGCACGCAGGCGGUCUGUCAAGUCGGAUGUGAAAUCCCCGGGCUCAACCUGGGAACUGCAUUCGAAACUGGCAGGCUAGAGUCUUGUAGAGGGGGGUAGAAUUCCAGGUGUAGCGGUGAAAUGCGUAGAGAUCUGGAGGAAUACCGGUGGCGAAGGCGGCCCCCUGGACAAAGACUGACGCUCAGGUGCGAAAGCGUGGGGAGCAAACAGGAUUAGAUACCCUGGUAGUCCACGCCGUAAACGAUGUCGAUUUGGAGGUUGUGCCCUUGAGGCGUGGCUUCCGGAGCUAACGCGUUAAAUCGACCGCCUGGGGAGUACGGCCGCAAGGUUAAAACUCAAAUGAAUUGACGGGGGCCCGCACAAGCGGUGGAGCAUGUGGUUUAAUUCGAUGCAACGCGAAGAACCUUACCUGGUCUUGACAUCCACAGAACUUUCCAGAGAUGGAUUGGUGCCUUCGGGAACUGUGAGACAGGUGCUGCAUGGCUGUCGUCAGCUCGUGUUGUGAAAUGUUGGGUUAAGUCCCGCAACGAGCGCAACCCUUAUCCUUUGUUGCCAGCGGUUAGGCCGGGAACUCAAAGGAGACUGCCAGUGAUAAACUGGAGGAAGGUGGGGAUGACGUCAAGUCAUCAUGGCCCUUACGACCAGGGCUACACACGUGCUACAAUGGCAUAUACAAAGAGAAGCGACCUCGCGAGAGCAAGCGGACCUCAUAAAGUAUGUCGUAGUCCGGAUUGGAGUCUGCAACUCGACUCCAUGAAGUCGGAAUCGCUAGUAAUCGUAGAUCAGAAUGCUACGGUGAAUACGUUCCCGGGCCUUGUACACACCGCCCGUCACACCAUGGGAGUGGGUUGCAAAAGAAGUAGGUAGCUUAACCUUCGGGAGGGCGCUUACCACUUUGUGAUUCAUGACUGGGGUGAAGUCGUAACAAGGUAACCGUAGGGGAACCUGCGGUU
rnacentral:rRNA from 1 species